UACAAUGUGAUUUGGAGUGGCUGUCUGUGU
rnacentral:piRNA from 1 species